UGGGGAAUCUUAGACAAUGGGGGAAACCCUGAUCUAGCCAUGCCGCGUGAGCGAUGAAGGCCUUAGGGUUGUAAAGCUCUUUCAGCUGGGAAGAUAAUGACGGUACCAGCGGAAGAAGCCCCGGCUAACUCCGUGCCAGCAGCCGCGGUAAUACGGAGGGGGCUAGCGUUGUUCGGAAUUACUGGGCGUAAAGCGCACGUAGGCGGAUUAGUCAGUCAGAGGUGAAAUCCCAGGGCUCAACCCUGGAACUGCCUUUGAUACUGCUAGUCUUGAGGUCGAGAGAGGUGAGUGGAAUUCCGAGUGUAGAGGUGAAAUUCGUAGAUAUUCGGAGGAACACCAGUGGCGAAGGCGGCUCACUGGCUCGAUACUGACGCUGAGGUGCGAAAGCGUGGGGAGCAACAGGAUUAGAUACCCUGGUAGUCCACGCCGUAAACGAUGAAUGCCAGUCGUCGGGUUGCAUGCAAUUCGGUGACACACCUAACGGAUUAAGCAUUCCGCCUGGGGAGUACGGUCGCAAGAUUAAAACUUAAAGGAAUUGAC
rnacentral:rRNA from 1 species